UACGGAAGGCAGCAGUGGGGAAUAUUGCACAAUGGGCGCAAGCCUGAUGCAGCCAUGCCGCGUGUAUGAAGAAGGCCUUCGGGUUGUAAAGUACUUUCAGCGGGGAGGAAGGCGAUGCGGUUAAUAACCGCGUCGAUUGACGUUACCCGCAGAAGAAGCACCGGCUAACUCCGUGCCAGCAGCCGCGGUAAUACGGAGGGUGCAAGCGUUAAUCGGAAUUACUGGGCGUAAAGCGCACGCAGGCGGUCUGUUAAGUCAGAUGUGAAAUCCCCGGGCUUAACCUGGGAACUGCAUUUUGAACUGGCAGGCUUGAGUCUUGUAGAGGGGGUAGAAUUCCAGGUGUAGCGGUGAAAUGCGUAGAGAUCUGGAGGAAUACCGGUGGCGAAGGCGGCCCCUGGGACAAGACUGACGCUCAGGUGCGAAAGCGUGGGGAGCAAACGAGGAUUAGGAUACC
rnacentral:rRNA from 1 species